UGAAUUUUGAAUGGGAUAAACUGUAAAUGAAGUGAGUUUAGGACAAAUUGAACUAAGAAGGACUCAUCCAUGUUCACGCUCAAUGCCUUAAGUUUUGUAGGCUUUUCAGCCAUGUUUAAAAUUUAUUGCUAAAUUCCUUUCUGGCUAUCAUAUUUCAUAAUGAUCAAUUCAGACAUCAAUGUGCCUACAAGAGACUUAUCUGCACAUUUGAAAUGCUCCUCCACAUAU
rnacentral:lncRNA from 1 species